GAUGGUGCUGACAUCUUAGACGAAGGACAAUACCGCUUAGAGGAUUAUUGACUGCACUCGAUUCAGUUAAAUCAUCGCCCGUAAGUACCCAUUAAAUUAAUACCCCUUGUUAUUUCUGCGUAGUGAGUUAACUCAAGCUAUUGUCGGCUGAUUUGCCUUGAGGGAUUAUCGGGAAAACACAAUCCUUCAGGCUGAAUCUGGCUGGGUAUUUCACAUGGUUUAUUCAGGGUGAAAUAAUUCUUUAAUAGUUUUCAGACAGGUGAAGGCCAUCAUCCUUACUGGGAUGUGGUUGUUGUCUCGACGUUCAAGAUGAGAGCAUCUAUCUUCAAAUGAAUGUUGACUUGUAUAACAAGAUGAAUAUAUCCACGGGAAAGAACGAACAAAUUUAAAAACAAUGUGAACAACAAAACCUCCAAAGCUACAAAGACAUGAUUCUAAAACAGAGAAUACAGAUACUUGCAGCACAUUAAGACGGGAGUUUGACACCUUUGACAGACGAGAGAUGUUAAUGAAUAACUAAGGCAGAAAAUCGAAGCAAAAUAUACUUGAAAGCUGGAAUUCAAGGAAAAAUACACUAUGAUCUUCAAAGUCAAGUACCGAUAGACUUAAACGCGAAUGAUGAGAAGAAUAUUACAACUUUGAAAAAAAACCUUGACAAGGUAAGAAAAAGUUUAAAAAUUCAUGGUUUGCUGUUUGCUAUCAUCAGUAUUUCGAGCUGAAUGCUCAAACAUUAUGGAGG